UACUCCCUCCCUCAGCGCGAUGUGGCCCAGGGGUCUGUCGUCCCAGUCCCGGGGAAGGAGAACACCCACUUCCGCCGCGUCCAUGAUCUCCCGCGGCUUCUCCUGACUCCUGCGGCUUGCGCUGGCGCUGGGCAUCGGGACAAUUGGACGGGGCAGCGGUCACCACCCUCCCUCGCAGGCUUCCGUAGGGCAGGCCAAAAGGGCUUCUCCCUCCCAUACAGUCUCCGCCCUCGCGACACUCAAGCCACAGCAACGCACUCGGACUCCCCGUGGUGGGUCGGCUCCGGAAAGAUCGCGAGAACUGAGAUUCCUUAGCGCUGUAAGGCGAGCGACCCGCGCCGCCGCCCUCCUCUUGCCCAACCCCUACGGGUGUUUACCUGGAAUUUGAGGGAGUCCCUGGGAAUUCGUUGUAGUCUCGCGGGACUGGCUCUGUUCAGCCACGAGCGCCGGGGCUCCGGAAGGUGUGGUGCGGCGCUCGGUCUUUGUGCACUCUUGUCCAAACUGCAGCUUGUGCUAGGUUCUCUUUUUCAGCCUUAUUUACCCCUCCCGGCUUUAGCUGCAGACUAUUCACUAAAAAACCCACCCAAGCACAGGCCUCGGCUUUUCCUCCCCCGGACUGUCCCGCCUUCACACUCCUCAGAGGCUUUGUGGCCGCCUGGGGUUACGGGAGACCUCUUCGCAAACUCCUCUCUGUGUACUGGGGACACAGGAGUGCUGGGUUAAAAGCAGUUGGCUUGCUAAGGUAGGAUUGGGUACCAGUACCCAAGUGAUAAGUAAAGUGUAAACACAAUGGUA
rnacentral:lncRNA from 1 species